UACAGAGGUCUCAAGCGUUGUUCGGAUUCAUUGGGCGUAAAGGGUGCGUAGGCGGCGCGGUAAGUCGGGUGUGAAAUCUCGGAGCUUAACUCCGAAACUGCAUUCGAUACUGCCGUGCUUGAGGACUGGAGAGGAGACUGGAAUUCCUGGUGUAGCGGUGAAAUGCGCAGAUAUCAGGAGGAACACCGGUGGCGAAGGCGGCUCUCUGGACCACUACUGACGCUGAGGCGCGAAAGCUAGGGGAGCAAACAGG
rnacentral:rRNA from 1 species